UACGUAGGGGGCAAGCGUUGUCCGGAUUUAUUGGGCGUAAAGCGCGUGUAGGCGGCCAUGCAGGUCCGUUGUGAAAACUCGAGGCUCAACCUCGAGACGUCGGUGGAAACCGCAUGGCUAGAGUCCGGAAGAGGAGAGUGGAAUUCCUGGUGUAGCGGUGAAAUGCGCAGAUAUCAGGAAGAACACCCGUGGCGAAGGCGGCUCUCUGGGACGGUACUGACGCUGAGACGCGAAAGCGUGGGGAGCGAACAGG
rnacentral:rRNA from 1 species